rnacentral:rRNA from 1 species
GGGUGAGUAACGCGUGGGAACGUACCUCUUAGUUCGGAAUAACCAUUGGAAACGAUGGCUAAUACCGGAUACUCCCUUCGGGGGAAAGAUUUAUCGCUGAGAGAUCGGCCCGCGUAAGAUUAGGUAGUUGGUAGGGUAAUGGCCUACCAAGCCUACGAUCUUUAGCUGGUCUGAGAGGAUGAUCAGCCACACUGGAACUGAGACACGGUCCAGACUCCUACGGGAGGCAGCAGUGGGGAAUAUUGGACAACGGGCGAAAGCCUGAUCCAGCCAUGCCGCGUGAAUGAUGAAGGCCUUAGGGUUGUAAAGUUCUUUUGUCAGGGAAGAUAAUGACAGUACCUGAAGAAUAAGCACCGGCUAACUUCGUGCCAGCAGCCGCGGUAAUACGAAGGGUGCUAGCGUUGUUCGGAAUUACUGGGCGUAAAGCGCGCGUAGGCGGCUAUUCAAGUCAGGGGUGAAAUCCCGGAGCUUAACUCCGGAACUGCCUUUGAAACUGUAUAGCUGGAGGAUGUGAGGGGAUAGCGGAAUUCCUAAUGUAGAGGUGAAAUUCGUAGAUAUUAGGAGGAACACCGGUGGCGAAGGCGGCUAUCUGGCACAUUUCUGACGCUGAGGCGCGAAAGCGUGGGGAUCAAACAGGAUUAGAUACCCUGGUAGUCCACGCUGUAAACGAUGAGUGCUAGCCGUUAGGUUCUUAGAACUUAGUGGCGUCGCUAACGCA